AAAGGUACUCAAGGGCACUGUAGUGGAUGCCUAGACGUAUAUUACCGAUGAAGGACGUGGAAGACUGCGAUAAGCUUCGGGUAGCUGUCAACAAGCUUUGAUCCGGAGAUUUCCGAAUGGGAGAACCUAGCAUGAGUAAUGUCAUGUUGCCUCACGCUGAAUACAUAGGCGUGUAGAGCGGGAACCAACUGAACUGAAACAUCUUAGUAGGUUGAGGAAGAGAAAGUAAAUAACGAUUCUCGGAGUAGUGGCGAGCGAAACGGGAAGAGCCCAAACCUUAUAAGUUUUUGCCUGUUCGCAGGCAAAUAAGCUGAUAGGCGAAUGCCUAUAAGGGGUUGUGAUAUAACACACGACCAAGCCAGAGAACUUGAAUUUUUCGAGGUAUCUGGUUUGCGACUACUGGCUAUCAACGGUAGGUAAGGUAAGAAAACGGCGUGGUUAGCAGAAUAGUUUGAAUGGCUAGCCAAAGAACGUGAAAGCCGCGUAUGCAAAAACGACGCUGACCUUAUAUGUGUUUUAUCGAGUAGGACGGGGCACGAGAAACCCUGUUUGAAUCUGGCUGGACCACCAGCCAAGGCUAAAUAUAAUAUACGAUCGAUAGUGAACUAGUACAGCGAUGGAAAGGUGAAAAGAACCCCGGAAGGGGAGUGAAAUAGAUUCUGAAACUCAGUGCCUACAAGGAGUCGGAGCCCAGCUUACUGGGUGACGGCGUGCUUUUUGUAGAACGAUCCAGCGAGUUAAUUUUUAGUGCAAGGUUAAGUCAGUUGACGGAGCCACAGUGAAAGCGAGCCUGAAUAGGGCGACAAGUACUAAGGAUUAGACCCGAAACCGGGUGACCUAACCAUGAGCAGGUUGAAGCUACUGUAACAGGUAGUGGAGGACCGAACCAGGAUACGCAGCAAAGUGUUUGGAUGACUUGUGGUUAGCGGUGAAAUGCCAAUCGAACUCGGAGAUAGCUGGUUCUCCUCGAAACAGUUUUAGGACUGGCGUCAUGUGGUAGCAGUCGGGGGUAGAGCUCUGUAAAGGACUGGGGGGAGCAAUCCUACCCACCCUUAACAAACUACGAAUACCGGUUGUGGAAUCAUGGCAGUUAGAACGGCGGAGCUAAGUUCGUCGCUCAAAAGGGAAACAGCCCAGACCAUCAGCUAAGGUCCCUAAAUUUACGUUAAGUGGGAAACAAGGUGAGAUUUCUUAAACAGCUAGGAUGUUGGCUUAGAAGCAGCCAUUCAUUUAAAGAGUGCGUAACAGCUCACUAGUCAAGAGAUCUUGCGUGGAAAAUGUAACGGGGCUAAACGUAAUACCGAAGCUAUGGGUUCAUACAUUUGUAUGGGCGGUAGAGGAGCGUUCCUAUCGGCGGUGAAGCAGUACUGUAAAGUAUUGUGGAGCGUUAGGAAGUGAGAAUGCUGGAAUGAGUAACCAUAAGAUAGGUGAGAAUCCUGUCGGCCGUAAGAGCAAGGUUUCCUGAGCUAUGGUAAUCAUCUCAGGGUUAGUCGGGCCUAAGCCGAGGCGCAUAGCGUAGGCGAUGGACAUCAGGUUGAUAUUCCUGAACCGGCGUAGUUUGUACACUGUUCACGGAGAGAUAUUCGGAGCGGAUUCAUGGUAUGUAUUCGUCCAACCGAGCGGGAACGCAAGGGGAGUGAAAGUUACUCUACGGAGUGACGAUUCUGAAAAAGGCUCUGGCUAGAAAAGCAGGUGUACGCGUGACUAUGUCCGCCCGUACCGCAAACCAACACAGGUGCUCGAGUCGAGUAGACUCAGGCUUACGAGAGAACCUUCGCUAAGGAACUCGGCAAUACAGCGACCGUAACUUCGGGAUAAGGUCUGCCCCCACUUCGGUGGACGUGUUGUCAGUUUCAAAGCUUAAGGUAUGGUUAAAAGAGUAUCUUUAAUACCAUCAAUUCUUUUAGAGAUAGAACCAUGCUUUUGGAACUGAAGCUCAACGCAUCUAACGAUGUGGGGGUCGCAGCAAAAGAGCCCACGGAACUGUUUACCAAAAACACAGCUCUCUGCUAACACGAAAGUGGAUGUAUAGGGGGUGACUCCUGCCCGGUGCUGGAAGGUUAAGGGGAACGCUUUACGGUGUGAACUGAAGCCCCAGUGAACGGCGGCGGUAACUAUAACCGUCCUAAGGUAGCGAAAUUCCUUGUCAGGU
rnacentral:rRNA from 1 species